CAUGUUUAACUCAUAUCUGUGUUUGUUGCUGUCAGCAGUGAUCUCUUGUGUUCACUGUGUUGAACUGACUCAACCUGCAUCCAUUAAUCUGAGGUCUGAUCAGACUUUGACUCUGUCCUGUAAGGUGUCUGGAUAUUCACUGACUGAUCGCAGCUACUGCACUCACUGGAUACGACAGACUGCUGGAAAACCUCUGGAAUGGGUUGGAGAGAUUUGUGGUAGCGGUAACACAUAUUACAAUGAUAAACUGAAAAGUAGAUUUCAAGUUGCAAGAGACACUUCCAGCAACACAUUGACUCUACAAGGACAGAAUAUGAGGACUGAGGACACAGCUGUGUAUUACUGUGCACGAGAGAGCACACUGAUGUAAACCACA